rnacentral:rRNA from 1 species
UGAGUACGAGAUGCUACGGCAUCGAAGCAGUCUAUGUCAUACUUCCAAGAAAAGCUUGCACUGUCAUAAACAAAGAAUGCCUGUACCAUAACCGACACAGGUGGGUAGGUAGAGUAUGCUAAGGGGCGCGAGAUAACUCUCUCUAAGGAACUCGGCAAAAUGACUCCGUAACUUCGGGAGAAGGAGUGCCUUAUUUCUAAGGUUGCAAUAACAAGAUCCAAGCAACUGUUUACCAAAAACACAGGUCUCCGCUAAGUCGUAAGACGAUGUAUGGGGGCUGACGCCUGCCCAGUGCCAGAAGGUUAAAGAAGUUGGUUAGCAUUAGCGAAGCUGAUAACUGAAGCCCUGGUGAACGGCGGCCGUAACAAUAACGGUCCUAAGGUAGCGAAAUUCCUUGUCGGGUAAGUUCCGACCCGCACGAAAGGCGUAAUGAUUUGGAUACUGUCUCGGAGAGGGGCUCGGUGAAAUAGACUUGUCUGUGAAGAUGCGGACUACCUGCACCUGGACAGAAAGACCCUAUGAAGCUUUACUGUAACUUGAGAUUGAAAUUGGACUUUAUUUGCGCAGUAUAGGUGGGAGGCGUUGAGAAUAAUCUUGCGGGAUUGUUGGAGCCAUCAGUGAGAUACCACUCUUGUAAUGUUAGAUUUCUAACUUUGUAUCAUUAUCUGGUCAAAGAACAGUUUCAGGCGGGCAGUUUGACUGGGGCGGUCGCCUCCCAAAGGGUAACGGAGGCGCACAAAGGUUUCCUCUGAACGGGUAGAAAUCGUAUCUAGAGUGUAAAGGCAUAAGGAAGCUUGACUGUGAGACCUACAAGUCGAGCAGGGACGAAAGUCGGUCUUAGUGAUCUGACGGUGCUGAGUGGAAAGGCCGUCACUCAACGGAUAAAAGUUACUCUAAGGAUAACAGGCUGAUCUCCCCCAAGAGUUCACAUCGACGGGGAGGUUUGGCACCUCGAUGUCGGCUCAUCGCAUCCUGGGGCGGUAGUCCGUCCCAAGGGUUGGGCUGUUCGCCCAUGAAAGCGGUACGCGAGCUGGGUUCAGAACGUCGUGAGACAGUUCGGUCCAUAUCCGGUGUAGGCGUUAGAAUAUUGAGAGGAGCCUUCUCUAGUACGAGAGGACCGAGAAGGACAUACCUCUGGUGUACCAGUUAUCGUGCCAACGGUAAACGCUGGGUAGCUAUGUAUGGAGUGGAUAACCGCUGAAAGCAUCUAAGUGGGAAGCCCACCUCAAGAUAAGUAUUCUC